UGGUGGAGCGAUUUGUCUGGUCAACUCCGAUAACGAACGAGACUCUAGCCUACUAAAUAGUUCGGGGACCUCCACAAAGGGGCCCCGCUUCAACUUCUUAGAGGGACAGGUGGCGUUUAGCCACACGAGAUUGAGCAAUAACA
rnacentral:rRNA from 1 species